rnacentral:tRNA from 2 species
GGGCGGUUAGCUCAGUUGGUAGAGCGCCUCAUUUACACUGAGGAUGCCAGGGGUUCAAGUCCUCUACCGCCCACAA